AGGGUAUCACUGACUGAAUACAUAGGUCUGUGAGGCGAACGCGGCGAACUGAAACAUCUAAGUAGCUGCAGGAAAAGAAAUCAGCCGAGAUUCCCAAAGUAGUGGCGAGCGAAAUGGGACCAGCCUGCAAGAUUUAGCACCAUUGAUAGUAGAACGGAAUGGAAAGUCCGGCCAUAGAGGGUGAUAGCCCCUUAUACGAAAUCAGUAGUGUGGAACUAGGCUUGCGACAAGUAGGGCGGGACACGUGAAAUCCUGUCUGAACAUGGGGGGACCAUCCUCCAAGGCCAAAUACUCGUAAUCGACCGAUAGUGAACCAGUACCGUGAGGGAAAGGCGAAAAGAACCCCGGAAGGGGAGUGAAAUAGAUCCUGAAACCGUGUGCAUACAAACAGUAGGAGCGGACUUGUUCCGUGACUGCGUACCUCUUGUAUAAUAGGUCAGCGACUUACAUUCAGUGGCAAGGUUAACCGAAUAGGGAAGCCGUAGAGAAAUCGAGUCCGAAUAGGGCGUUCAGUCGCUGGGUGUAGACCCGAAACCAAGUGAUCUACUCAUGGCCAGGUUGAAGGUGCGGUAACACGCACUGGAGGACCGAACCCACUAAUGUUGAAAAAUUAGGGGAUGAGCUGUGGGUAGGGGUGAAAGGCUAAACAAACUUGGAAAUAGCUGGUUCUCUCCGAAAACUAUUUAGGUAGUGCCUCAAGUAUCACCAUCGGGGGUAGAGCACUGUUAUGGCUAGGGGGUCAUCGCGACUUACCAACCCAUUGCAAACUCCGAAUACCGAUGAGUGCGAGCUUGGGAGACAGACGUCGGGUGCUAACGUCCGGCGUCAAGAGGGAAACAACCCAGACCGCCAGCUAAGGUCCCAAAGAUUGGCUAAGUGGAAAACGAAGUGGGAAGGCUAAAACAGUCAGGAGGUUGGCUUAGAAGCAGCCACCCUUUAAAGAAAGCGUAAUAGCUCACUGAUCGAGUCGUCCUGCGCGGAGGAUGUAACGGGGCUAAGCCAGUCACCGAAGCUGCGGAUAUCAAUUUAUUGAUAUGGUAGGAGAGCGUUCUGUAAGCCUGCGAAGGUGUCUUGUAAAGGAUGCUGGAGGUAUCAGAAGUGCGAAUGCUGACAUGAGUAGCGAUAAUGGGGGUGAAAAGCCCCCACGCCGUAAGCCCAAGGUUUCCUGUUCAACGUUCAUCGGAGCAGGGUGAGUCGGCCCCUAAGGCGAGGCAGAGAUGCGUAGCUGAUGGGAAGCAGGUUAAUAUUCCUGCACCGUCGUUAGAUGCGAUGGGGGGACGGAUCGCGGAAGGUUGUCCGGGUGUUGGAUGUCCCGGUUUCUGUAUCAGAGAAGGCUGUUAGGCAAAUCCGGCAGCGUAAUUCAAGGGUAUGGGACGAGCGAACUUGUUCGCGAAGCAAUCGGAAGUGGUUCCAAGAAAAGCCUCUAAGCUUCAGUCUAACGAGACCGUACCGCAAACCGACACAGGUGGGCGAGAUGAGUAUUCUAAGGCGCUUGAGAGAACUCGGGAGAAGGAACUCGGCAAAUUUGUACCGUAACUUCGGGAUAAGGUACGCCCUAGUAGUUUGACUGGCCUGCGCCAGAAGGACAAAAGGGUUGCAAUAAAAAGGUGGCUGCGACUGUUUAAUAAAAACACAGCACUCUGCAAACACGAAAGUGGACGUAUAGGGUGUGACGCCUGCCCGGUGCUGGAAGAUUAAAUGAUGGGGUGCAAGCUCUUGAUUGAAGUCCCAGUAAACGGCGGCCGUAACUAUAACGGUCCUAAGGUAGCGAAAUUCCUUGUCGGGUAAGUUCCGACCUGCACGAAUGGCGUAACGAUGGCCACACUGUCUCCUCCCGAGACUCAGCGAAGUUGAAAUGUUUGUGAUGAUGCAAUCUACCCGCGGCUAGACGGAAAGACCCCAUGAACCUUUACUGUAGCUUUGCAUUGGACUUUGAACCAAUCUGUGUAGGAUAGGUGGGAGGCUUUGAAGUAGGGACGCCAGUCUCUAUGGAGCCAUCCUUGAAAUACCACCCUGGUUUGUUUGAGGUUCUAACCUUGGUCCGUUAUCCGGAUCGGGGACAGUGCAUGGUAGGCAGUUUGACUGGGGCGGUCUCCUCCCAAAGUGUAACGGAGGAGUUCGAAGGUACGCUAGAUACGGUCGGACAUCGUGUUGAUAGUGCAAUGGUAUAAGCGUGCUUAACUGCGAGACUGACAAGUCGAGCAGGUACGAAAGUAGGACAUAGUGAUCCGGUGGUUCUGUAUGGAAGGGCCAUCGCUCAACGGAUAAAAGGUACUCUGGGGAUAACAGGCUGAUUCCUCCCAAGAGUUCAUAUCGACGGGGGAGUUUGGCACCUCGAUGUCGGCUCAUCACAUCCUGGGGCUGUAGCCGGUCCCAAGGGUAUGGCUGUUCGCCAUUUAAAGUGGUACGUGAGCUGGGUUUAAAACGUCGUGAGACAGUUUGGUCCCUAUCUGCCGUGGGCGUUGGAAGUUUGAAGGG
rnacentral:rRNA from 1 species